AUCCGUCUGUGACCCGCGGCGGCCGUCUCCCUCAGUGGCCGCAGCGCCUCCCGUGAGAGCGGUUUCUCCUCCUUGUACUGCUGGACCUGGCCCCGUAUCUUCGUGGCAGAGGCCAAGCAAGGGGACUCCGAUGCCGGGGCGUAGGGGGGUUUGGGUCAAAGGAUGGGGGCAGAGUUCAAAGUGCAGGGGGCGGGCUCGUUUAAUGGCGAAGUCCUGGCACCGCGCCCCAGGGAGGAGGCUCCGGAGGCCAGUGGAACCCCGCUAGACUUCAGGGGUCUUGGUUGGGGACGCGGGGCGUUUUGACCCCCUAGGCCUGAGGAUCCUAGGCCUGAGUAACCCAUCGGAUUUGGAGGGAAGGGUGGGGUUUAGGUGAAAUGUAAAUACUGCGUGGUUUCCAUUUGGCAAAGAGCAAGCUUGUAAAGGGGUCACCCUCGGGUCUGGGCUGCGAAGUGCAGCCGGGACCUGUUUCCUUGGGAACCACAAGAUAAGACCGCUGUAGAUUGUUAUGUCCGGAAACCGCUUAUCAGAGCCCUGCACCUGGGUUGGAAAUGGAGACGGAUUCUCUGUGUCCAAGAAAAUCAGACCCUCCGGCCGGAAAAGGGAAGUUUAUUCUUACUGAUAAAAUGUCAAUCACUGUGUAUGAUUGUAAUGGGCAAGGAAGGCAUUUAGCGAGCUAGAAGACAUUGAUGGCUCAGAAAAAGGUGUCCUUGGCAAAAAUACUGUUUUCUGUUAAUUUUCCAACUGAUACCAUCUGGGUCUGUCCUCCCAGCCUGAUGAAUGUGUAGGCAGAUACUUUCUCAGUCGGAGUUGAUUUUUAUUAUCUUGAUUGCUGCAUCCUGUGCACAGAGGUUUUCUGCUCAGCUGGGCUUCAUCCUGGGGUCCCAGUCCUGGCCCCAAGCCUUAAUCAGCUCUCGGGUGAUAUUAGGCAAGUUGCCAAGCCCCUAAGUGCCUCAGUUUCCAGGUCUGUAAAAUACAUAACAUUACCUGCAUUUGUCAAA
rnacentral:lncRNA from 1 species